CCUACGGGUGGCAGCAGUGGGGGAUAUUGUACAAUGGGGGAAACCCUGAUGCAGCGACGCCGCGUGGGUGAAGAAGCGCCUCGGCGCGUAAAGCCCUGUCAGCAGGGAAGAAAAUGACGGUACAUGAAGAAGAAGCCCCGGCUAACUACGUGCCAGCAGCCGCGGUAAUACGGAGGGGGCAAGCGUUAUCCGGAUUUACUGGGUGGAAAGGGGGCGCAGACGGCGAGGCAAGCCAGGGGGGAAAGCCAGGGGCCCAACCCCGGGACUGCUCUUGGAACUGCGUGGCUAGAGUGCAGGAGGGGCAGGCGGAAUUCCUGGUGUAGCGGUGAAAUGCGUAGAUAUCAGGAGGAACACCGGUGGCGAAGGCGGCCUGCUGGACUGCAACUGACGUUGAGGCCCGAAAGCGUGGGGAGCAAACAGGAUUAGAUACCCGUGUAGUC
rnacentral:rRNA from 1 species